rnacentral:rRNA from 1 species
CAGUUGGAAACGACUGCUAAUACCGAAUACCUUCGGAGGCCCGCAUGGGUCAUCGAAGAAAGAAUUUCGGUCCGGGAGAGUCUCGCGGCCUAUCAGCUAGUUGGUGGGGUAAUGGCCUACCAAGGCAACGACGGGUAGCUGGUCUGAGAGGAUGAUCAGCCACACUGGGACUGAGACACGGCCCAGACUCCUACGGGAGGCAGCAGUGGGGAAUCUUGUGCAAUGGGCGCAAGCCUGGCACAGCAACGCCGCGUGCGGGAUGAAGGCCUUCGGGUCGUAAACCGCUUUCAGCAGGAACGAAAAUGACGGUACCUGCAGAAGAAGAUGCGGCCAACUACGUGCCAGCAGCCGCGGUGACACGUAGGCAUCAAGCGUUGUCCGGAUUUAUUGGGCGUAAAGAGCUCG